rnacentral:rRNA from 1 species
UACGGGGGGGGCAAGCGUUGUUCGGAAUUACUGGGCGUAAAGGGCGCGUAGGCGGUUUGCUAAGUUGGAUGUGAAAACUCUGGGCUUAACCCAGAGCCUGCAUCCAAAACUGGCAAACUUGAGUACUGGAGGGGAAAGCGGAAUUCCUGGUGUAGCGGUGAAAUGCGUAGAUAUCAGGAGGAACACCGGUGGCGAAGGCGGCUUUCUGGACAGUAACUGACGCUGAGGCGCGAAAGCGUGGGGAGCGAACAGG